UACAGAGGGGGCAAGCGUUGUCCGGAAUCACUGGGCGUAAAGGGCGCGUAGGCGGCUUCUCAAGCGUGUGGUGAAAGCCCGGGGCUCAACCCCGGAACUGCCAUCGAUACUGUUAGGCUUGAGUACAGGCGAGGUUGGCGGAAUGGGCGGUGUAGCGGUGAAAUGCAUAGAUACCGUCCAGAACCCCGAUUGCGAAGGCAGCUGACUAGGCUGUAACUGACGCUGAGGCACGAAAGCGUGGGGAGCGAACGAGG
rnacentral:rRNA from 1 species